GUGAUGGGUUUCCAGAUGUGCCGGACCAGCUGGCUGACCAAAUAAAAUCACAUGAAAAACAAUGCCUUACAGUAACAACAGUAGCACAAAUUGCAAUUAUAUGGUGCCUUUCACAACGGGAGGAUGUCCCAAGGAGCAGGACAGAAGAGGGUUUGCCCCCAAGAUGGAUUUGGAUUUCCCAACAUUCUUCGCCAGUAAUUGCCAGCAUCAGGAAUUAUGCAUAAUUGCUGGAGGUGCAAUGGAUGUUAAUACCGCACUUCAAGAAGUGCUGAAAACGUCAUGCAUCCACAUUGGCUAAGCUCGGGGCAUCCGUGAAGCCGCCAUGGCAUUGGACAAAAUGCCCACCUGCGUGUCAUGUCAAAGAAGAAAAACCUCACAAAGUUGUCGACUGCAGUUGUAAAGGAAUAUGGCAACGAAAUUCCCGCCAAAGAUGUAAUUGAAGAAUACUUCAACUCAAAGAAACAGACGAUGCAGAAAUAAAGAACAAGCUUCAUUUACUGACUUUUUAUUUUGAUGCUGGCCUAUUUUCUGUUUGUCACGAGGCAAAGUGCAUUAAACGUAUCUCCUAAUCCCUGAUAA